rnacentral:rRNA from 1 species
AGUGAACGCUGGCGGUAGGCCUAACACAUGCAAGUCGAACGGCAGCACAGUAAGAGCUUGCUCUUACGGGUGGCGAGUGGCGGACGGGUGAGGAAUACAUCGGAAUCUACUUUUUCAUGGGGGAUAACGUAGGGAAACUUACGCUAAUACCGCAUACGACCUACGGGUGAAAGCAGGGGAUCUUCGGACCUUGCGCGAUUGAAUGAGCCGAUGUCGGAUUAGCUAGUUGGCGGGGUAAAGGCCCACCAAGGCGACGAUCCGUAGCUGGUCUGAGAGGAUGAUCAGCCACACUGGAACUGAGACACGGUCCAGACUCCUACGGGAGGCAGCAGUGGGGAAUAUUGGACAAUGGGCGCAAGCCUGAUCCAGCCAUACCGCGUGGGUGAAGAAGGCCUUCGGGUUGUAAAGCCCUUUUGUUGGGAAAGAAAAGCAGCAGGUUAAUACCCCGCUGUUCUGACGGUACCCAAAGAACAAGCACCGGCUAACUUCGUG